UCGUUCUUUUUCCUUUUAGGAAUAUCUGGUACAACAAGGGCUAUUUCCUUACCUUGAUCAGCCGCAAUCAAACCAAGAACAAGAUCAGGACGAAGCUGACGAAACAGAAUAUCAGAACGGGGCAAUGGAAGUGGCGAGGAACGUGGUUGAUAGUACUCUAGAGAGGGCAAGUUUGCAUGAAUUCCCCGGAUUAAAUAAUUGUUAGUUUAUUCUCGUCUUUCUCAUUCUCUCUCUAUAUAUCUCGGACUUAACUCGGAUGCUCAUAUUCCUGUUGACAUCUUAUUGCAGUAGGCCCAGAGGAAUUAUAUGGUAUGCUGUUUCUCCAGGUCGUUAGACUACAUCGGAUUUUCUGACAGUGAAGAAGCACUUAUUGCCGUGGAGGAACUUGAAGAAUACAGUGGAGAGUAGUGUAUGUAUAUUCUCUUUUUAUGACUAUAUAUAUAUAGAGGGAGAGAGAUCCAGAUGAAAUUGUUGAUGUAGAGAGAAGAAAAGGAGAUUGGUGGAGGAACUAGUUCUUCAGUUCAUUGUACAUGCUAUGUUAAAUUGUUCAUUAUCAUAUGAUUUUAUUGCCUACUUUCCUGUAGCAUUUUGUUUUUGCUUUGCUAGGUGGAUUCAAUUUGAUCAUAGAGUUUUCAUGCAAUGACUAUGCUUCGAAAAAGGGUCAAAAAUACCUCUAACCUACCCAAAAAACCUCACAAACAUUUUUAUCUAAAAAUACUGUCAAUUACUCAUUAUUUUUGGUGCAAAUAUACUCCUCUUUCCCUCCCCCCCCCAUUUGAUUAAAAAAUACCUUUAUAAUAUUAAUAAUGUUGUAUCUAGAAUUCAGUAAUUUUCCUUCAACAAUCUAUA